rnacentral:lncRNA from 1 species
GUUUUCUUUCUUAUAUAAGCAACAAGAGUUCCUUUUUAACUUUAACAUCUUUAAAAAAAAAUGACCCAGCUGAGAUGGGUCAGAGUGACAAAUGAAAGAAAAAUUUUUGCUGAAGGAAGUGAGUAGCUCAAAGUCAAUAUUCUCCAACAGACUAAGUGAAAGCAGCCCUCCACAGCAUGGUCUUCUGUGACCUAUUCAGACAUAUCUGUUUGUGUGAGGUUAAUUCCCCCGGACUACCCUUUGUUGAUUCGCAUGAGUGGUUGAGGAGGGACAGUCAAAACACAUCCAAGUUUGUGGUCAUGACUUCCGUGUCUGGGAAAGUAGUACACAGACAGACAUCACCGAGAAUCCAUGCUGUUUGAGGUCAAGGGUAAUCCAAGAUGGACCAGAAAUUCAGGAUCUUCACGGUUAACGUGGUGGCAGUCAGAAAGAAAUGCAAUAGAACUAAUUUAAGUUCUAGAUCAUGAUAGCCUGUGAUAUGGUUAUGAUCUGCUAUUGUUCGUGAUUUCCUGUACCAUCAUAUGACACAAUGAAGAGAUGACCAUGUGCAAACCACAUAGAGUACCCUUACCAGACACUAGAGCUGGCAGAAAUUUGAUCUUGGACUUCCCAGUCUCCAGAACUGUGAGAAAUAAAUGUUUGUUGUUUAUGAAACUUAGUCUAUGGUAUUCUGUUAUAUAGCAGCUUGAGCUGACUAAUGUGAUAUUAUUAAGUCAAGAAAAACAAUUGGAUAAUUUAUCAAGAUUAUUUUAUGGCAGACAAUUUAUUUCAACAUUACUUAAAAGCAUUGAAACUUUUCUAUGCUGAGAAUUACAGUGCUGCUGGUGAAAGUGGUGCUAGAGCUUGUGUGUGUGUCUGUGUGUGUGUCUAAUCGCAUUCAGGGAGCAUUUGUUUAGUCUGUUUUAAUGCUAUCAGAGCUAACAUUUGUGUAUGUUUGUUUUCUUUAUCUCAGCUCUGGCAAAUCCAUGAAAAACAGAUGAAAGCCAAAUCUUUCAUUAUUUCUAAAUCCCUGAUUAUGACAUAUUUCUCCUACAACGUGUCCCAAAAGAAUGAGAAAAGCAUCUGUAACUACGCACAGGUUAUGUUGUAGUCCCCUCAGUAGCAUUUUGUCCAUAUGGAGCUUAAUUCUGUAAACUACCUAUAACUAGGUAUAAAAUUCAGACAGAAAAUAGCAAUUUAUCACAAGUGUCCAGCUGGCUUCUUCUUCUAAGUGGUUAUUUCCUAAUCUGCAAUCCAGCCAUUCACUGCCCACUCACAUUUUUGAGCUAUAAAAUCAAUAAUAAAUAGCAAGAACAUUCCCUUGAGAGCUUAGCCAUGCAUUCCAACUGGG